AUGAACGCUAGCGGCAGGCCUAAUACACGCAAGUCGAACGGUGAUAGCAAUAUCAUAGUGGCGCACGGGUGCGUAACACGUAUGCAACCUACCUUAUACUGAGGGAUAGCCUUUCGAAAGGGAGAUUAAUACCUCAUAACACAUUGAACUGGCAUCAGUUUAUUGUUAAAGAUUUAUUGGUAUAAGAUGGGCAUGCGUCCAAUUAGUUAGUUGGCGAGGUAACGGCUCACCAAGACGAUGAUUGGUAGGGGAACUGAGAGGUUAAUCCCCCACACUGGCACUGAGAUACGGGCCAGACUCCUACGGGAGGCAGCAGUAGGGAAUAUUGGGCAAUGGAGGCAACUCUGACCCAGCCAUGCCGCGUGCAGGAAGAAGGCGUUAUGCGUUGUAAACUGCUUUUAUAUAGGAAGAAAUAGACCUUGCGAGGUAAGUUGACGGUACUAUAUGAAUAAGCACCGGCUAACUCCGUGCCAGCAGCCGCGGUAAUACGGAGGGUGCAAGCGUUGUCCGGAUUUAUUGGGUUUAAAGGGUGCGUAGGCGGCUUAUUAAGUCAGUGGUGAAAGACGGUCG
rnacentral:rRNA from 1 species